rnacentral:rRNA from 1 species
GCUUAACACAUGCAAGUCGAGGGGCAGCAUGGUCUUAGCUUGCUAAGGCCGAUGGCGACCGGCGCACGGGUGAGUAACACGUAUCCAACCUGCCGUCUACUCUUGGACAGCCUUCUGAAAGGAAGAUUAAUACAAGAUGGCAUCAUGAGUCCGCAUGUUCACAUGAUUAAAGGUAUUCCGGUAGACGAUGGGGAUGCGUUCCAUUAGAUAGUAGGCGGGGUAACGGCCCACCUAGUCUUCGAUGGAUAGGGGUUCUGAGAGGAAGGUCCCCCACAUUGGAACUGAGACACGGUCCAAACUCCUACGGGAGGCAGCAGUGAGGAAUAUUGGUCAAUGGGCGAGAGCCUGAACCAGCCAAGUAGCGUGAAGGAUGACUGCCCUAUGGGUUGUAAACUUCUUUUAUAAAGGAAUAAAGUCGGGUAUGCAUACCCGUUUGCAUGUACUUUAUGAAUAAGGAUCGGCUAACUCCGUGCCAGCAGCCGCGGUAAUACGGAGGAUCCGAGCGUUAUCCGGAUUUAUUGGGUUUAAAGGGAGCGUAGAUGGAUGUUUAAGUCAGUUGUGAAAGUUUGCGGCUCAACCGUAAAAUUGCAGUUGAUACUGGAUAUCUUGAGUGCAGUUGAGGCAGGCGGAAUUCGUGGUGUAGCGGUGAAAUGCUUAGAUAUCACGAAGAACUCCGAUUGCGAAGGCAGCCUGCUAAGCUGCAACUGACAUUGAGGCUCGAAAGUGUGGGUAUCAAACAGGAUUAGAUACCCUGGUAGUCCACACGGUAAACGAUGAAUACUCGCUGUUUGCGAUAUACAGCAAGCGGCCAAGCGAAAGCGUUAAGUAUUCCACCUGGGGAGUACGCCGGCAACGGUGAAACUCAAAGGAAUUGACGGGGGCCCGCACAAGCGGAGGAACAUGUGGUUUAAUUCGAUGAUACGCGAGGAACCUUACCCGGGCUUAAAUUGCAGAUGAAUUACGGUGAAAGCCGUAAGCCGCGAGGCAUCUGUGAAGGUGCUGCAUGGUUGUCGUCAGCUCGUGCCGUGAGGUGUCGGCUUAAGUGCCAUAACGAGCGCAACCCUUGUUGUCAGUUACUAACAGGUUCCGCUGAGGACUCUGACAAGACUGCCAUCGUAAGAUGUGAGGAAGGUGGGGAUGACGUCAAAUCAGCACGGCCCUUACGUCCGGGGCUACACACGUGUUACAAUGGGGGGGUACAGAGGGCCGCUACCACGCGAGUGGAUGCCAAUCCCAAAAACCUCUCUCAGUUCGGACUGGAGUCUGCAACCCGACUCCACGAAGCUGGAUUCGCUAGUAAUCGCGCAUCAGCCACGGCGCGGUGAAUACGUUCCCGGGCCUUGUACACACCGCCCGUCAAGCCAUGGGAGCCGGGGGUACCUGAAGUGCGUAACCGCGAGGAGCGCCCUAGGGUAAAACUGGUGACUGGGGCUAAGUC